AUUGAACGCUGGCGGCAGGCCUAACACAUGCAAGUCGAGCGGAGCGGCGGACGGGUGAGUAAUGCCUAGGAAUCUGCCUGGUAGUGGGGGAUAACGUCCGGAAACGGGCGCUAAUACCGCAUACUAACAGAUGAGCCGAGGUCGGAUUAGCUAGUUGGUGGGGUAAAGGCCUACCAAGGCGACGAUCCGGAACUGGUCUGAGAGGAUGUGCAGUCACACUGGAACUGCGACCCGGUCCAGCCUCCUACGUGAGUCAGCAGUGGGGAAUAUUGGACAAUGGGCGAAAUCCUGAUCCAGCCAUGCCGCGUGUGUGAAGAAGGUCUUCGGAUUGCAAAGCACUUUAAGUUGGGAGGCGUUACCAACAGAAUACGCACCGGCUAACUUCGUGCCAGCCGCCGCGGUAAUAC
rnacentral:rRNA from 1 species